GACGGAGGAGGCAAGCGUUGUCCGGAAUCAUUGGGCGUAAAGAGCGCGUAGGCUGUUUUUCAAGUCGUAUGUGAAAACCUCAGGCUCAACUUGAGGAUUGCAUAUGAAACUGGAUAACUUGAGUGCAGUAGGGGAAAGCGGAAUUCCUGGUGUAGCGGUGAAAUGCGCAGAUAUCAGGAAGAACACCAGUAGCGAAGGCGGCUUUCUGGGCUGCUACUGACGCUGAGGCGCGAAAGCUAGGGGAGCAAACAGG
rnacentral:rRNA from 1 species